rnacentral:rRNA from 1 species
GAUGAACGCUGACAGAAUGCUUAACACAUGCAAGUCAACUUGAACUUCGGUUUGGGUGGCGGACGGGUGAGUAACGCGUAAAGAACUUGCCUCACAGAUAGGGACAACAUUUGGAAACGAAUGCUAAUACCUGAUAUUAUGAUUAUAUGGCAUCGUAUAAUUAUGAAAGCUAUAUGCGCUGUGAGAGAGCUUUGCGUCCCAUUAGCUAGUCGGAGAGGUAACGGCUCACCAAGGCGAUGAUGGGUAGCCGGCCUGAGAGGGUGAUCGGCCACAAGGGGACUGAGACACGGCCCUUACUCCUACGGGAGGCAGCAGUGGGGAAUAUUGGACAAUGGACCAAGAGUCUGAUCCAGCAAUUCUGUGUGCACGAUGAAGUUUUUCGGAAUGUAAAGUGCUUUCAGUUGGGAAGAAAAAAAUGACGGUACCAACAGAAGAAGUGACGGCUAAAUACGUGCCAGCCGCCGCGGUAAGAC